rnacentral:rRNA from 1 species
AUAGCUGCAGUAAGGUGACUGUACAAAGGUAGCAUAAUAAGUUGUUUUUUAAAUGGAAACUAGAAUGAAAGAAUUGAUGAGGUCUUAACUGUCUCAGAUUGAAAAUUUGAAUUUAUUUUUUAAGUAAAAAUGCUUAAAUAAUUAUAUGGGACGAGAAGACCCUAUAGAAUUUUAUAUAAAUUAAUCAAUAAAAUAAGUUUAGUGUAAAUGGUUAGAGUAUAUUUGAUUGGGAGGAUCAUUAAAUUAAGUUAACUUUAAUUUAUUUAAUAAAUAUAUAUAAAUGAAUUUAGGAAUGGUUAGUAAAUUAAGUAAGAAUUAAUUACCUUAGGGAUAACAGCGUAAUAUCUUUGGAGAGUUCAUAUUAAUAAAGAUGAUUGCGACCUCGAUGUUGAAUUAAGAUAAAAAUCAAAUGAAGAAGUUUGAUAUUUAAGUCUGUUCGACUUUUAGAAUCUUACGUGAUCUGAGUUCA